UAAAAACAAAAAAAAGCUGCGCAUGAAAAAGAACAGAAAAAAAACUGAAAAGCAGAAGAAGCUGCGACGAAAGCUGGGACUCCUUUUCACGUCUUCUUCUCCAACGGCCCCUCUCCAUUUUUCUGAACUUUAGUUCCCGUCAACAGCAGUGCAAACGACAUGCUCUCUCCUUUCACCUCACACCCAACGACCCCAGCUCCCCGCCAUCGCAGAUCUGCCAACACCAUCAACAGCUGCUGCCUCGCCGGAGCUGAUCACCGGUGAGUGGCGACGCUGCCGGCGAACCAAACAACACCCUUUAUUUUUGCUUUCUUCAAUCUAGAAUGAGCUCACACCAGCAGCUCAUGCCAUCACACACACACGCACAUGCUGAAGCAGCAGUGAACGAAAAAGGGCUGAAAACAGUGAGGAGUUCAAAACUCGUUUAACACUUUUCCGGCAAGUUUCUGGCCGAGUCUCGAUGACUAUUCUGCUGGUUCCUUGUCGAGGUUGAGUCCAUCUUGGGGUUCGUUUGCGAGAUCCGUACAACGCCAUAUAUUGAGGUGUCGAGUUCGUCGAAGUCCCUGGUGCAAGCUUCCCAUUUAGUCGUUGAGUCGGAGAUUUGAGGUCCGUCGAGGUUUGUCGGUGCGGUUCACGUUUCCGGUAAGCGGCUCUCAGAUUUGUUCGAUUUUUGCUUAGAGGUCCAUUUCCUUUUCUCUUAAGCUCUAGAUCUUUAUUUCAUAUAUGGUUUUGUAUUGGAUCAUGAUUGAGCUUGAAUUAAAUGUGAGUAUUGAUUACUAUAGGUGUGGUAUAUUGAUUUGUUCUUGUUUAAAAGGCAUGAUGUCUUUGGAUUUCUUUCUUUUGAAAAAUCAUGAACCUGUUUCUUUCCAUUUUGGCUGUUUUUGUUUCAUGAGAUUUGUUCUUAUUUUGAUCUUAAGUAGGUUGAAAAUUAAAAAUUGAGAAUUGACGUAUUAUGAAUAGUUUUGCUGAUUGGUUUGAUUUAAAUUCAUUAAAAUGUUUUGUAAAGGAGAAUGACGAUAAUCAGGUUUGGAGCUUUGGUAAUUCUGUUAUUUUUUUUUACUUUGUUUCUUUGCUAAUUCAUCAAUUAAUAAGAGCAUGCUUAGCCACAGGUUGAUUUUUUUAAGAGAAACUGAAAUUGGAUUUGGGUAGCUUCCCUCUUUGAUUAGUCCAUAAAUGAUAUUUAUAAACACUCAUAGCUUGCUUUUGGCGCCUAGUGAAUCAUCACGGCCAUAGGUACGGUUCCCGUGGCAUAGUCGUGAUAUCUAAUUCCCAAACUCGGGUGCGCAUUUAUGUGACCCAAAUUUAAAUUUUGACAACGUUAAAUAAAAUGUGUCGUGGACUGCGGGUGCAUUUAUGUGACAUAGCUCAAGACGUGUUUUUGAUAACGUUGAAAUCUUCCUAAAAAUGAUUUAAUGAAAAGCGGUGAAAAGUUAAAAUGCAGAUAGGUUUUAAAGGUGUUUUAAAGUCAGAUAAUAGGCCGAAUAUAACAGUUAAGCGACCGUGCUAGAAUCACGGAACUCGGGAAUGCCUAACACUUUCUCCCGGGUUAACAGAAUUCCUUACUCGGAUUUCUGGUUCGCGGACUGUUAAAUAAAGUCAAUAUUUUCCUCGAUUCGGGAUUGGAACCGGUGACUUGGGACACCAUAAAUCUCCCAAGUGGCGACUCUGAAUCUUUAAUUGGAAUAAUCCCGUUUUGAUUGUCCUUUAAUUGGAAAACUCCUUAUACUACCCUCUUCCGGGGGGUGUAGGUGAAAAAAAGGAGGUGUGACACAUAGCAGCAAUUUCUUCCUGAAAUCGUCCUGCAAGAACAUCCUUCUGCCCGAUCUGCAAAGGAAAAGAUAAGUCAGUAAACAUCGAACUAUGAGAAUGGCGAACAAAUUUAUGAAUAACAAGUAACUUGCUCAGCAAGGCCAACCUUUUCUCGGAGCGCUCCCUCCAAAUUCGUCCAAAGCUCGCUUAACUCCUCCUCCUUUCGGGCAGAGGAGGCUUCCGACUCCUGUAGUCCUAAGGUGAGCUUCUCGAGCUCCUUUCUACGGCAUGAAAGCUCAUCUUGGAGCCUAGAGAAGGCGUGAUCAUACAUCUUCUUAGCCUACAACGAAAUAGAAGAUCAGAAAAAAGGUACUUGAGACUAGAAAAGUGUACAUAAAAGGCUAUCACCUUCUGUUGGAACUUCUCCGUUUCCUCGAUAGCGUUGGGAGCGUCGAGAUCAAUGUCUUCACUAACAUCAUCAACUCCAUCAAAGAAGUUGUCAAGCCCUUCUCCCCCCUAAAGAGGACCCUCCACGUUGGUAGCAUUUGGGUCCUAAGCAUCCCUGAGUUCCCCGGGCGAGAACCGAGGACCUAAAUCAAGGCCGCCCAGGGUGUCAAUAUCGCUAAGGAGCAAGCUCCAUCCCCGAGAAGCUCCGGGCCCGGCCCCUUUGGAACCAACAACAACGGUCUCCUCGGAAGGAGCUGCAUCACAUCCGGACAGGGGCUCGUAGACUGUAUCUGUGCCCUCCUUGAGAUCCUCCGAAGCAUGGGCUCGAGCCGAAUCAGCCGUUCCUGACUCAGCGGCCCUCAGCACAUACACUUGGGGGGAAUCUGUGCCCGACCUCUUCCUUUGUACCAAAGGGUUAUCGUCAUCCUCAUCCUUGUCAUCCACGUCACCCUUUGUUAUCGUCAUCCUCAUCCUACGAGACGUGGGUUUCUUUGAUAUGGAGUAAUCGACAACCGGUGCCUUUUUUCUCUUCUUACCCUCAUCGGGCUUAGAGAACCCUCCCUCGCCGGUAGGAGGUGAUCGCAUCUGCAUUCCAUCGCCAAGGCUUUCGCAAACAUAGUAAUCAAAGUUUUUCAGCACGGAGGAUAUAAGGAAGAAAUAUAAAACAUGAUAGAGGCGGCAAGAAAGAGUUUACAAUAAUUCUUGGCCACCCACCGCAUUUUAGCCAACUCAGGCCAAGAUCACUAGGGAUAAGGGAACGAGGAAUUUAAUCCCUUAAUCCACCCCAACAGGUCCGGAAUAGAUUCGGGAUACCAAAGGACGGCUACAUGAGCAAAGGGAAAGUUAGCUUUUUGAGAAGAAAGUAAGAAGACAAUAAAGCAUACAUAAAAAAGAAGAGGCACUUACGCUUCAUGUUCCACUCCUCCGAGAAUGGCAUCCACCUAGCCGGAAUAAUGUCUGAGGUCCUUUCUCGGACAAAUUGGCUCAUCCACCCCCGAUCUUUAUGCUCAUCGAUACUCGAGAAAAAGGUCUUCAAAGAUCGAGAGUGAAGCCUAAUCAAGCUUCAAAAAAGACGGGGGGUGUACAACCUGAUCAUAUGAUUAAGGGUAAAAGUCGUACUCUUGGCUUUGCUGGAAAAGUAGCAAAUCAUGUAAACUGCGGCCCCUAAAUCGCACUUGCGACCUCGCAGAUGCGGCCAGUCCUUCGCAUCUGCGGUCCAGCCCUGGUCUUCCAUUUCCGCAUCUGCGGUCCUCCUAGUGCAUCUGCGGCCUCGCACCUGCUGUUCCCACUCCGCAGGUGCGGAAACAUCAGAAGCAACAGCUUCAGCUGCAUUACUCCUCAUCCAAACUCUCCGUUAAUCAUCCGAAAUCAUCCUGAGGCCUUCGGGACCUCAACCAAUAUUACCAAAAAGUCAUAUAUCCACAUACGAACAUAGUCGAACCUUCGGAACAGUCAAAACAACAUUAAAACACCAAAUUACCUUUGGAUUCAAGCCUAAGAACUUCUAAAUUUUCAUAUUCCACAAACGGUGCCGAAACCUAUCAUACUUCGUCCGAAUGACCUCAAAUUUUGCACACACGUCAAAAAUGACACUAUGAACUUAUUCCAACUCCCGGAAUUCCAUUCUGACCCCGGCAUCAAAAUUUCCACGGGGCUUGUCAUAAUACAUCAUACAGGGCUUGUCAUGCCCGAGAACUGGCGAGCGAAGUGCAAAUGCUCAAAACGACCGGUCGGGUCGUUACACGGAUUUUGGGAAAAGUUGUAUUCGAGUUGCAAUUGUUCAUAUCGGCUAUUUAUGAGAGUUAUUGUUGUUAAACUUGUUUCAUCUUAUUUUUAAUAUAAAGAUGCCAAAUUUUAUUGUGAUUGUUGGCUUGCCUAGUUCUGUGCACUAUCGCAACAAGUUAAGUUUUGGAUCGUGACAGUUAAAAUAUUAGGCUAAGUUAAAUUCGUUAAAGAUAUGCUUCAUAGGUCAUAGAGUCAAGUGAUCAAGCAAGAAAUUACAGUCCCUUAUUUUUUCUCCGGAAAAUACUUACCCAAACCUUUAGUAGCAGCCAUAUGAAAGUGUUAUUGGACAACCCACAAUAGUAUUUUAAUAGGAAAAAUUAAUUUAAAUAAUCGCCCCCUCAACUAGUUAAACGAAAAAAUAUAAUCAGUGAAUGAAUAAUAUAUAUAUAUAUAUAUGAUACUUAAAUACUGAAACUAUUUCGACAAGAUGCCUCAUAGUGUUUGAUACUAUAUUCUUUCUUCAAUGUUUAGAUUCAUUUUUUUAACCACUUGUCUAUAUAUAUAUAUAUAUAUAUAUAUAAUAUAUACUAUACGUAUAACUUACUAUAUACANNNNNNNNNNNNNNNNNNNNNNNNNCCUGGUGGGUGAGCUACUGGGUUCCCGGUCCGAUCCGGGUUCAGUAUAGCUCAUUCCAGGCCCAUUAAAUUAAUGGGUUGGUCCGGUUAAGGUUUCGUGGGUUAUGGGUCGGUUAACGGUUCAAUUUUAAUGGGUUAUGUGAGCCGAUUCAUGGGUCGACCCGACCCAUUUGACAGGUCUAAUUGACAAUAUUGAUCAUAUAUCCUGGUUUGGAGAAAGAAACCCAUGUCCAUUAUGUUAAUGAGUUUUAUUCUUAUUUAGUAAUUUAAUAUUUUGGGACUUAGUACAGUGAAAUAAUAGAAGCAAUCAGUUCUACACAGUGAUGCAGAGAGAGACGCUCCACGUCUCUAACUUUCCACCAAUAGACUUCUUCUUAGAACUUACAAAUGUUUUUCUUUCCUUUUCAUGCACCACCAUUCAUGAUGCCUUAUAACAGUCAUCCACCGUUCACCAUCAAUUUAGAAUCACAUGACUCAAACACUUUGCAGAUCGACAACCCAUCUGAAAGUACAAGGGGUGAAUUGUCGAUAUUUUUUUUAUACUCUAAGUGGUUGACUAAUUACUAUUUAAUCGACUGAAGGUAAGAACAAAAUAUAAGUAAAGCGGGAAUAAAAGUGCAGGAAUUAAAGACAUCAGGAUUUUUAUACUGGUUCGGAUUCAAUGUGAAUCCUGCAUCCAGUCCUCAUGGGUGGCAAGGGUAUUCUCUUUCAGUAUUUGAAGUUUCUCGAUUACAAGAGAGUUGAUGUAGCUUUACACCAACAGCUUAGUCACUAUGUCACGUCUUGCUUCUUGAUACAAUGCCUCAUCCAGUGUUUAUCUCUUUCUCUUCUCUCACUAAUUACACAGCAGAUAUAAAGAGAAUUAAAAUAAUGCUUGUUUGGAGUAGAACAAAACGAGUGAUAUUGUGGUUCGUUCAAAGUAUGUGCUCCUCUCUUGACACACUUUGUUUUAUACUUGAGCUUAUUUGGCUUUGGCGGAUCUUUGAUAGACCGUUGAAGAGAUUUGCAAUCCCAAGGGAAUUAAUUCUCAGAAUUGAAUCUGUUGCAAUCUACUCCAAGAUUAGAUAUAGAGCUUCCAUAGACGAUCUAUGGCUGCCGGUCAUUUCCUUAUAAAUUCAUUUUAUGUUGUUCCUUGAUUCACAUGAUUGAUAGCCUUCCUUUAUUUGACACAUAUCCUUAGCAAUCCGGGUAGCGAGAGAUCUUUAUCCUUCCUUUAUUGAUGCAUAUCUUCAGCAAUCAGGGCAACAAAAAAUCCUAAACCUUCAAUCAUUAUCGCUUCAAUCAUUAGUCCUCCUUACUUGCUUUCGUUUGACAGAUCUUUCUUUGAUUCUUUUACUUCUUCCAGAUUGUUGCCUUGAUUCUUUUACUUCUCCCUUUCUCGACUUCUUCUAUACUUGAAUAACAGAUCUUCUUUAGUCCUUCGUUUUAUCCCUCGUGAUCGUACACCAUAGUCAUAUAUUAAUUUUCAUCAUUAAAAUUUAUAUUUAACAUCUUCUCCUUUUUGAUGGUGACAAAAUAACAUAUAAAAGUAGUUUAAUUUCCUAUUAUAGUUGAUUCUUGUUUUGCUGUAGUUGAAUUCUUUGAUGUGGCAGUCGACUCUACCUCAAAAGGUGUCAUUGUUUGUCCUGCACUUGUAAUCUCACGAGAUGACCUGAUAGGUCAUCUAGAGUUUUAGAAUCUAAUUCUAUGUUUCGAAGCCUCCAAUAGCUUGUUUAAGUCUUUCUCGAUUUGUGUGCACAAUCCGGAUAUUUUUCGAAAGGCCUUUAUGUUAAAAACUGAUAAAAUAUAAAAUUUCACUUCAAAAAUCCAUGUGAGUUGACUUCGGUCAACGUUUUAAGCAGACGGACUCAGAUUCAUAUUUUGAUAGUCCUAGUGGAUCCGUAUCGUAAUUUAGAACCUGCGCUUAUGCCCGAAAUUGAAUUUGGAGGUCCUUAGCUUGAGUUAUUAUUUUUAUCGAAAAUUAAAAGUUUAAAAGUUUAAUGAAUUUUACGAAUUGACCGAUGUUUGAUUUUGUUGAUACCGGGUCAGUAUUUUUGUUUUGGAGUCUGGUACGUGUCCAUUACUAUAUUUAUGACUUGUCUGUCAAAUUUGGUGAGAAGCCGAGUUGGUUUGACGUGAUUCGGACGUCCGGAUGUUAAAAUAGAAGUUUUAAAGUUUUCUUGAAAAUUUUAUUUGAUUUGGUGUCCGAUUCAUAGUUCUAGGCAUUUUUUUUGGUAUUUUAAUCGCGCGAGCGAGUUUGUAUGAGGUUUUUUGACUUGUGUGCAUGAUUGGUUUGGAGGCACGAGGGCUCGGGUGAAUUUUGGAUAUGCUACGAGUGGUUUUAGACUUAGAAAAUCUGGUGUUUUAAACUUCAUCUAGUUCUAGUGUAAUGUACUUCUUAUCGCGAAGCCAUCAUCGUGAUCACGCAGGGGGAACUGGGUAGGGGAGAUUUUACUCUAUGCGAACGCAAAGGACUGUACGCGAAUGUGAAGUGGAGGGGGGCUGCCCUUCGCAAACGCAGACAGUGUAUCGUGAACCACAUAGACUACUAAUGCCUGUCCUUUGACCGCCUUCUAAGUCACAUAGACAAUAUCAAAUUCACUCAACAAUAUCUGCCAUUUUGCUAGUUUCCCUAUAGGCAUUGCUUUCUGGAAAAUGUAUUUCAAGGGAUCCAUCCUUGAUAUGAGAUAUAUAGUAUAGGCACAUAAGUAAUGCCUCAAUUUCUGAGCGAUCCAUGUUAGGGUGCAACAAGUGCGUUCUAGCAAAGAAUACCCUGCUUCAUAGGGUGUGAAUUUCUUAGUCAGAUAAUAUAUGGCCUGUUCCUUUCUUCCCGUCUCGUCGUGUUAUCCCAAGACACAACCAAAAGCUCCAUCUAGUACGGACAGAUAGAGUAGCAGAGGUCUAGCACGUUCCGACGGGACCAGGACUGGUUGUGUGGACAUGUAUUCCUUGAUUUUGCCGAAAGCUUUUUGACAUUCUUCAGUCCAACUUGUUGCAGCAUCCUUCUACAUCAUUUUGAAAAUUGGCUCACAUAUCACAAUCGAUUGUGCUAUGAGGCGACUGAUGUAAUUAAGAAGCCCCAAGAAGCUCAUCACAUCUUUUUUACUCUUCGGAGGUGGAAAAUCUUGUAUAGCUUUGACCUUUGAAGGGUCUAGUUCAAUCCCUCGUCGACUGACAAUGAAACAUAGCAAUUUUCCAGCAGGGACUCCAAAGUCACACUUUGUAGGAUUUAGUUUCAGAUUGUACCUUCGAAGCCGAUUAAAGAAUUUCCUCAAGUCUGCUAUAUGAUCUGUGCUUCUUCUGGAUAUGAUGAUGACAUCGUCCACGUACACCUCUAUUUCUUUGUGAAUCAUGUCAUGGAAAAUAGUCGUCAUAGCUCUUAUAUAAGUGGCUCCAGCAUUCUGCAGGCCAAACAACAUCAUUUUAUAACAAUACAUUCCCCAUGGAGUGAAAAAGGUUGUUUUCUCGGCGUCUUCUUCAUCCAUCCAGAUCUGAUAGUAUCCCGCGAAGCAAUCCAUAAAGGAUUGGAGUUUAUACUUGGCACAGUUGUUGAUCAGUAUGUGUAUAUUGGGUAACAAAAAAUCAUCUUUGGGACUUGCUUUAUUUUGAAUCUCGAUAGUCGACACAUACUCUGACCUUCCCAUUCUUCUUCGAAACUGGCACGAUGUUAUCCAACCAAGUAGGGCAUUCGACCACUCUGCGAACCUUAACUUUGAUUUGUUUGGUGACUUCCUCUUUAAUUUUUAGACUCAUAUCCGGCUUGAACUUUCUGAGUUUCUGCUUUACAAGUUGACACAUCGGAUUGGUAAGUAGCUAUCCACUAUAGAUGUGCUCUAACUAGUCAUAUCAUCAUAAGACCACGUGAAAAUAUCUUCAUACUCCUUCAGGAAAUGGGUGUACUCUUCUUUUUCUGAUGUUGACUGGUAAAUGCUUAAGCGAGUUUCUUUGACUAUUUCAGAGUCUCCCAAAUUGACUAUCUCGGUUUCGUCCAAAUUUGACUUAGGCUUGUUCUCGAAAUUUUUCACUUCUCUAACAAUUUCCUCAGGUAUUGUAUCUUCUUCAUUUCCUCUAAACCACUAUCCUUAUUUUGUGUUGUCUCAUUACAUGUCACAGUCAUCGGUUCAUCAGGAUAAGUAAUAAUAAUGCUGUGGAGAGAAAAUAUAAAGGAUAAUAAUAAAUACUAAAAUUGCAAUGCAUUAGAUAAAUAUUGAAAACAUUAAAACGAGCACGACUCAAUGACUAGAGCAAUUAUUUUUAAAACAAAAUACGUCUAAAACAAAAUACUGAAAAAUGUCUUAAAUGCGAAAAUUGCUUUUAAAAAAUAGAUCAUGCUAAUUGCCAGGUUACCCAGGUACUCGAUGGGUCCGGGAUGGUGCAGCAGUCCAAUUCUUGAGAACAACUCCAUUUCAUACGGUCUAAAUUGUAAGGUCUUCCUCAUCCUCCUCAACUAUUUCAUUGCGGUCCAUGUCUUCAUCGUCCAAAAAUAGAUUCUUUACGCCAGCUAAAGCCUCAUCUUCUUCAGAUCCCCAUAUCAUGGCAACUUGUUAAAAUGUCUGGUGCAGAUGCAGUAUUGGUUGUUCAAGUGGGUAAUAAGGACCACACCAUGGUGGUGACUAAUUCUGAUACUCGUGCCAUGUAUAUUCAUACCCAAGCCCGAAAGUUGUGUUGUGACGCUUUAGCUGUAUCAGUUUUGUGAUCCCCUGGAGAUUCUUUUCGAGACCCUUGCCGGAUUCAUACCCUGUCCAUGACAAUAUGCUUUCAAUCUUAUUACUCUACCAUUUGUCUUUCUCAAUUGCAUUGACGCGCUCGAUGCGAUGGUACGUUUCUCCACCCAACUUCCUACUGUUCUCGACAACCGGAACAAUUUGAUUUGUGUAAAUGGGAUUAUUUCCAUCCCCGUGGAUGAUUACUUCUUGAUGAUUCCAUUCGAACUUCACGGCGUGGUGUAGCAUAGAGGCUACGGCCCCAGCAGCAUGUAUCCACUAUUGUCCCAAUAACAGAUUGUAUGUGGUGUAUAUGUCUAAUACUUAAAAUUCAACGUUAAACCAAGUCGGGUCCAUCUACAAGCAUAGGUUGAUUUCCCCAAUCGUGGCCCUUUAGGACCCAUCGAAUGCUUUCGCGUUCAUAGUUCCUGCUAGUAUCUCAUGCAAACCUUUACCCAACCUUUUCAAAGUGGUCAAUGGACAAAUGUUGAGACUCGAACCCCCAUCUAUUAGGACUCUGGCAAUGAAUUUGUUCUCAAAUUGUACUGUGAUAUGCAGUGCCAUGUUGUGACUCAACCCUUCGGGCGGCAGUCGUCUUCGUGAAAAGUGAUCUUGUGGCUUUCCAACACCUGACCCACCAUAUUAGCCAUUUCUCCACUAGUGAUAAUAUUAGGUACAUAGGCUUCGUUCAACACUUUCAUCAAUGCGUUCCUAUGCGUCUCAGAAUUCUUUAGUAGCUAUAUAAUGGAUAUUUGAGUAGGGGUUUUGUCAGAUGAUCAACCACAUAAUAGUCUUUUGCUUACACCUUUCUCCAAAGAUCAUCCGGGCUAGUUUCAAUUAUAGGUGGCUUGAGAGCGUCUUCUUUGCUUGUUCCUCCUAAAUGCUCAGGCGUGUAAACACUACUGGUCCUGGUCAUGCCUUGUGCUGCACCAGUUUCUUCCAUUUUCCCCUUUCCUUUCCUUCUCGCCUCUGCAGCAUAAUCCCGGGGUAUAACUUUAGGGUGAUAAGAGGGUUAGGUGCUACCGUCACAAUGAAAGGUGUGGUUACUUCCACCUCAAACGGGGUUGGUGCGGCUGAUGGCAUUGUUGCCUUAACCUCGAACGGAGUUGACGUGGCUAUUUCAACCUUAGUUAGCGAUUACAUCUGAACUAUAAUAGGUGUGAGAGUGACUGAAGGUAUUUUGGUUUCAUCCCUUUCACGAAUGAGUCCAAUUGAUCCUUCCGAAUCCCAUUCUUCAUCAGUUUCGAUCACAUUUACCUCCUCGCCCCUGUGAUCCAGAGGGUUGUUGCGGACAUUUGGUGUGACUUUCUUUGCUUGUAUAACCUUGGUGUCAAUUGGUGUCUGGAUCGUAUCCUUCAAAGUGCGACAUUCAUCAAUAGUAUGACCCUUCAUGCCCAAGUGGUAGGCACAUGUCUUAUUUGAAUUAACCCACUAGGAGGAGUUUUCCAUGGCAACAGCGGGAAUAAGAGUGACGUAACCGACAACCUUCAAUCUCUCAUACAACUGAUCGAUGGGUUCAUCAAUGGGAGUGUAUUGUCUGGGUGUUCUACAGUCGAAAUUUUGUCUGGGUUUUUGGUAAUUUUGGAGGGCUGGUGGUGGUGAAUGGUAAUAUGCUGGUUGGGUGUUAUAAGUAUGGUAGGUGGCGGCGGGUUGUUGGUAUCUGGAAGGUGAAGGCUGAUAUGUGGGUGGUGGGGUUUGGUAUGGAAGAGGAGAUUUUGGACCUUGGGCUACCAUUACUGCACCAACUUCUUUCUUUUUAGCUAUACCUCAUGACUGCAAGGCUUUGUUUGUAGCUUGGAGUGUCACCACCCCGCUUUUAAUUCCUUCUUUUAUUCUUUCUCCCAAUUUGAUGAUGUCGAGAAAUUUAUGAUUUUCAAUAACCAUCAACCUCUCACAAUAUUGCAGAUCCUGAGCUCGGAUGAAGAACUUGUUCAUCUAUUAUUCUUCCAGUGCUGGCCUUACUUUUACAGCUUUUGAUCUCCAUCGAGUGGCAUACUUGCGGAUAGUUUCUGUGGGAUUCUUAUUAUGAUUUUGAAUGUAGAAGACAUCUGGUGCAUUUUCUGUAUUGAACCUGAACCUAUCCAUAAAAUCUGAUGCCAUGCUCACCCAGUUAACCCAUUUCUUCGGGUUUUAACUAAUAUACCAGGACAGGGCGUCUGCGGUGAGGCUCCUCAUGAAUAGCUUCAUGCGGAUUCUUUCGUCUUUACCAACCUCUACGAGCUUGUCACAAUAUGUUCUCAAGUGUACCUUCAGAUCUCCUGUCCCGUUGAACAUUUUGAACUUAGGAGGUUUGUAACCCUCCAGUAGUUCUACAUCUGGCUGAUACACAAUCCUCAUAAUUCAGACCUUCGAUGCCUUUACCGCCUUCAACACCUUUGACUCGACUAUUAAGUUUCUUGAGUUCUUCCGCCACGUUCUUAAUGAGCAGGUCCUUCUUGGCGGAUUCAGAUAUGUAUAAGGUUUGUUGUGGAGUGUAGGGUAAGGUUUCCACAUAUAUAGGGUCGCUUUGAUGGACUCCAAGAAUUUGGGUAUUGAUGGACUCCAGGAAUUUGGGCAUAAUGGUGGUCGUUGGUUGAGUUUUGGGGAUCAGGGGUAGGUUAUGGUACAUUUCGAGGAGUGUGGUAGGUAGUGAUUUGUGGAUACUGUGUUGGAUGGUAAUGAUGCUGUGGAGGAUUAGGAUUUUGAGAAGGUGUGGCAUACUGAUGAGGUGUGGGAGGAUUUUGUUUUGUGUGUUUUGGGGAGGUGCUGGGUUUUGGGCGUUUUGUUGGUUGACGUCGGGGACGUUCAGGGUAAGGGAAAGGUUUGCCAAGUUUCGGACCUGCUCAAAUUCCCCUUGUAGCUCUAGUAUCUUUUGUUCCAAUCGUAAAACCAAGUCAUUCUAUGCCGUAGUACUCCGACCAGCUGAAGUCUCAACAUUCUCUACAUUCGUAGCAUUGUCUUUCCUGAUACCACUUGCAUCAUCCAUUCUGGCUUUUCCCUUGCUUUUAGGAUCACUAGGAGGAGGAGGAGGUGGAGGACCUCUAGAUAUAGUAUGAUAUGCUGAUGAUACCAUUAUGCACGAACCAAUCUUAGGAGAUAGGAAUAAACAAAGAAAGAAAAGAAGAAAAAUAAAAAGGCAAACAAGUCAGUAAGGAGUACUAAAGGGAUAUUCGUGAUAUUUAAACACAUAUUGCGGGAUUAUAAAUUUGUGUCCUAUUUUGGGGACCUCGUGGUGCCCGAGGUAGGCCUAAGUGACAUAUAGAUUUGGAGAAAAUCGAUACCAAUAACUGCAUCAUUUCAUUAAUAUAAUAAAUAAACCAAAUCUCAACUAAAACGACAAUAAUUAUAAAGAGUCAUUAAUGGCAUAUGCCUUAUUACAACCAAAGCCUAAAUUGAGUCUAGAAAGCAAGUAAAACAUAAUUUCUAAUCUAUUUGGUCCCAGAUUGACCUUCUCCAUGCUUGGAUUUCUUUGCUCCAUCGAUCAGAUUCCCCAGGUCGCGAAUGUCCAACAACAGAUAUGCCCUUGCUAGGAGCCCUCCUUCAUUGCCAUCCAUGUUUUGACAGCCUGCAACCCUGUUUCUCAUCUUCCCUUCAAGCUCCAUCAACCCUUGCUCUAAAUAUUCAAACCUCUCUGUUGACUUAGUAGCAAUUUCUCUCCACUCGUUGAUUGCUUCCAUAUUUGCUUUAUAUUGUUCCAAAUGCUUGGCUUCAGACUCGAAAACCCUUAACAUCCUGUAUUUGACUUGUGCUUUAGCAGCGUCGUCUACAACCCUAUUAUUCAGAUUAAUCCAUGGCUUGACAUACCCCGCUAUAUUAUUUACCAACCAUGAUGAAUAGAAGUGUACAUGGCCGGCAUGAUACCGAUUUGGCUCGAUGGUAUCUUUCUCCACAAUGAUCUUUUGAUGCCACAUGUGUUGUGCCUCGAACUUGAAUGGAAUGGUGUUCCCCUGGAAGUCUGCUUUGUAUUGAACCAUUUUGCAAACUCAUGGUAUAAUCUGUUUUCUCCCAGCUUACCUCAUAACUCUGAUAGGGGCAUAAGGAUAGAUCCCCCUCAAUCUGAUUAGCACUAGAUGAGGAGUAUCUCUUGACCUGGUGAUGAAUUCACUGCUUGGGAACCACUUGAACAUCCAAUGUACCUUGUCAUCAGUUAGAUUGUUGAGGAAGUGUGCCCAGCUCACAGUGUUUCCCGGUUGCGCAAACUUGUUUGGGAUAAAAGUCAUUCUCUUCGGACGAUGAUAGGCUAUAUGGUCAUUCUAUGAUCGUCGCGGAUAUUCUUGAUCGUAUUCUCCCCUCUGAAGGCGUUCCAACCACCAUACUUGCAGCAACAGAUUGUAACACUCGAAAUUUCUAUACCCCUUCUUGCAACGGUUUAAAGCCCGAUACAUAUCAACCAAAAUCAUAGGGACAAUACUGUAAGUUUGCCCCUCAAUUCCCUCCAUUAAAGCCUUAGUGACCAUAGCUAGGCGAGUGUGGAUCCUUUCUCCUUGUAUUGGAAAUACCAACAUCCCCAAAAUAUAGACAAUGAAUAUAAAACCUCGGCAGUGAGUCCAACCCAAAGAAGUGAUGGCAAACUCAUCAUGGUAUAGGCGUUAUGACUUGAUGUGUCCAUAACGCUCAUAGAGGAAAUCGAAUGGUAUAUAAGACUUCUUCAAACAUACUAAAUCAUCAUUUUUCCUGAAACCCAUCAUUUUCAAGAUACCUCGAGGAGUGCAAUUUUCCGGUACAAACAAACUAGGACUAUCCCAUGGGAGCCCAGUGAAACCUCCUAUUUCUUUUAAAAGGGAAGUCAUUUCUAUGUCACCAAAACGGAAAACAACUCUCUUUUCAUCCCAGAACAUAGUAGCGGCCUCGAUUAAUGCAUUUUUGGCUUAAUGUCUAACAUAGAGGGAAAAUUCACGAGGACCCUAUUCACAUGGUUUUUGUCACUUGGCGGGAGAUUUUUCCACCAAUCUAGCGGCAAAGGUGGGAUAUUUCGAACCAUGCCGAACCUGGGGACUCCGUACCUCCUCUUUGCAAAACAAAUUGAGUUAGCCCUUCCCCCCUCCAAAUUUGGCUAAUUACACGUUAAUGAUCAAUAUAUUGGCAUGUUUUCUCCAAAUAAUGCACAGAUCAUGAUUGUGUCUAUUGGGAUUAUGGAAAUUCCGGCGGACUUUGGACAAGGCUUGUCUUAGCGAGUUAUUAUGUGGACAACAUUCUAACUCAUACUAGGUUUGGACAUGAUGCAUGCACCGUUGAUAUUAGAGUAGGGGUUUGUAGAAGACACUAGACCGGUACCCUCAAAAAGAAAACUAGAGAGCGAAAGGCACGGAACCGUCGAUUGCACCGCUGAUCGACUAGUUUUACCUCAAAUAAGCCUUUCCAAAUUUAAAGUAUAAUUUAGGAAGAGCGUGGACACUCAUCAAGUGUCGCUAUAGUAUUAAGUACGCAAGAGUAGAAUAUGAUGUAGAUCAUGCUUUAUGCAAAGAUAAAACAACACAUUGUCACAUAUAUUUUUUGCAUGAUGAAAGCAGUAAAUGCAGUAUUGAAUGAAACGUAAAGACAAAGGAAGAAAAACAAGGAAGAAGUUAAUUCACGCAAUGUGGAAAUUGUAAUGAAAUAGAUAAGGGGGUAAGGGUGGGAAGAUACAUGAUGUAGCAAUUCUAAAAAAUGUCUAAAGGAAAGCGCAUGUUAUUACCAAAUUAAGCAGAGUUUGCAUAUGAGUUCAAAUAAAGGGAAAGCGGGGAAAAGGGUAUACAAGUAACAAAUAAAAAGGAAAUGGGAGUGGGAUAUUCAUGUAACAACAAAUAUAAUAAAGACACGCGUAUCAAAGAAGACUAAUUCAUAUAAACCGAGUUCACUUAUGCUAAGAGCCUAAAAAAUCCCCAGUAGAGUCGCCAUGCUAUCGCGCCGCUUUUUCUCGCGAAAUCGGAUUUCGGCACAUGACAACUCUUUUAAGGAAGGUGUUAAAAGAGAGAGUCACCACCUAACAAUUUUUAAGGUGCGUUAGGACACCUAUUUGCAAAUAACUCUAUUUGACUGGUUUGCAUUAUCAAAGAUCGAGUAAGGGCUCGAAAUUACCUCAAAGAGAAGGUAUUAGGCACUCUUUGAGGUCCACAACUAUGGGUCUCAGCCGAACUCAAACUAUAUGAAUUGGUAUUAGGCACUCUUUGAGGUCCACAACUAUGGGUCCCAGCCGAACUCGAACUAUAUGAAUUGGUAUUAGGCACUCUUUGAGGUCCACAACUAUGGGUCCCAGUCGAACUCGAACUAUAUGAAUUAUUCUAUGUGAUCAAAUAAACAAAGAGAGAGAGAGAGCACAAAAAAUUAAAUAAUUUCAAUUUUGAAACACAAAUAAUUGAUUAAAGACAAGAGGGGGUGGGGGGGGGUCCUAAAUUUUUUUAGCCUAAAGGAUCACCCAGUGCAAUAUAAAUAAUACUUUGUAACUCCCUCGAGAUGGGGCGUUACUCGUAUUAUUCAGCGGGCACAGACUAUCAUCUCCUACAAUCCGAUUACUAUCUUUAAGUUGUUACCUAAAGCGCACUAGUUGAUUCUAAACCGUGCCUUAUGCGUGCACUAUCUUUCCCAUGCCUAUGGUCUAGGAGGCGUUUGGACCUCUAUUUGUAUGGUUCUAGACCUAACUUAGGCUGCUCAAAAUGAGAAAACUAAGCAACAUACAAAACAAGUUGGACUUCACAUAAAAGUAGUUAAGGUCUCAAGUUAGCCUCCACACUUAGACAACAAAUGCAUGUAAACACAUAUGCAAAUUAGGAGUUUUCAGAAUUUAGAAUUGAGACGAGUUAAAGGCAUUAAGCCCUAUAAAUAUGAUUUCUAUAUGAUUCUGGAUUUUAAACAUGCAACAGUUUCAGAUGUAAGGUGUAAUCUUAUAGACGUGAUUUUUGAACAGGUGCACAGUUUAUGAAAUCUGAUAUUACAUGCUGAUUAUUGAGACUACAGGUUUGUGACGAUCCGGCCAGUCGUCUCAUAAGUUACCGCUCUAUUUCCCCCAUUUCUACUUCUUAUUGCUUUGUUUAUCGGUUCUAUGAGUGAUCUGGUUGGUUGGCUUAGGUUCGGAAAAGUUUUGAGAAGGUUUGAGACACUUAGUCUCUUUUGAGAAAGCUUAAGUUAGAAAAGUCAACCGAAUGUUGACUUAUAUGUUACAGGGCUUGGAUAUGAGUCCGAUGGUUCGGUUAGCUUCGGGAGAUGAUUCGGGACUUAGGAGCAUGAUCGGAAUGAGUUUUGGAUGUUCGGAGUAGAUUGAGGCUUGAAUUGGCGAAGUUGAUAAUUUGGUGAUUUCCGGUUGGUAGGUGAGAUUUUGAUAUAGGGGUCGAAAUGGAAUUCCGAGAGUUACAGUAGCUCCAUUGUGUCAAUUGGUAGGCAUUGCAAAAUUUUAGGUCAUUCGGACGUGGUUUGAUUGGGUUUUUGAUCAAAAGCAUAAUUCGGAAGAUUUUGGAAAAUUAUGCUUGAAUCCGAUGUGUUUUGGUUGAUUUGAUAUUGUUUGAGGUGUUUUGAAGAUUGAUACAAGUUUGAAUAAGGUAUUAGGAUAUGUUUGUGCUCUUGGCUGAGGUCCUGGGGGCCUCGGGGUGAUUUCGGAUAGUUGAUGGAAAGGUUUGAGACUUGUUGCAGCUAUUGAACCUUGCUGCUUCUGGUAUUUCCGCACCUGCGGAUUAGGGACAGGAUUUGGUAUAGUUGGCCGUGAUAGUGUAGUGAUUCUAUCCCUCCCCUACGUUUUCUUUUUCCUUCCACCCCCAAAAAGCGAAAGGCGGGAAUUAAUUACUAGUUAUUCUCCAAUCACCCGAAAGCAGCGGCAAGGCGGACAUUGAUUUUGCAGAAAGGCUGGCUGCCUUGCAGGGUCGCUUGCCUAGUUCACCGGUACUAGGCUAUGAGAGGCUCAACAUCGGGUCCAAUGUCGCUGUCCGAGCCUUCCCUUGAUUGUGCCUUUAGGCUUUCUUCUUGCUGCUUUGUUUGCGCUUUCGAAUCCGCUUCUGUAAAGAAAGGAGAAGAGAGAGGUGUCGGCUAACUAAGGACGAUGAUGGAAACUAUCCCAGAAAGGUGAGCAAGAAGAUCUUCACUACUAGCUAGUAUUGAAAGAAAAGAAGGCCUACCUUCGCUUUGUGCGCUAAGAGCUAUGGCUCUUCUACAUUAUAUAAUCUAUAAUAUGUUCAUUCAUACCAAUAUACCUGCUAAAAAAAACCAAUAAAUUUUCAACCCCUCUCACAGUCAUCAAACCUGCAACACCAAAUUCCUCUCCGCCCUCUGCUCGGCAACGCAAUUCCUAUGCUCACAGCCAGUUAGAGCAAAAAAAAGCAGGUGCGACGCCGCACGUGCGGGGGAUCGGCCGCAGAAGCGAAAAAGGGCUUGAGGGUCAGGAACCGCAGAAGCGGCUAAGAGGACCGCAUCUGCGAAGUCGCAGAUGCGGAUAUGGGAUCGCAAGUGCGGUAAUGGGGUGUUAAGUGAUUUCCACAGAAGCGGAGGAAGAAUCGCAUAUGCGGUACCGCAGAAGCGAGUAUGGGACCGUAGAUGCGAAAAGGUCUUGGCAGAAGGUAUAAAUUGUGGCCUUCGCGAAUUUUAGCUAUUUUCACCAUUUUUAUCUCGGCUUUGGAGCUUUUUGGACGAUUUGAAAGAGGGAUUUCAAGGGAACUUCAUUGAGAUAAGGAAUUUGGACCUAAAACUCGUUCCUAUGCUAUUAUUACACAGAUUAGAGCUAGAAAUCAUGGAAACUAAGAGUGAAAAUUGGGGAAACUAGGGUUUGGAAACUUAGACCUAUGCUUGGGGAUUUGAAGGACCAUUUGAGGUCAGAUUUCAGAACUUUUGAUAUGUUUGAACUCGUGGGGAGAUGAGGAAUCUAUUGAUGUAAAAAUUAUCGAAUUCCGAGAUGUGGGCCCGGGGGUCGGGUUUUGGUAAUUUCGGGAUUUGUGUUGUAAAUUGAUUAUUUUCGCUUGGGCUUCGUUCCCUUAGUAUAUUUUGACGUCCUCGUUCUGAUUUUGGAUAGAUUCGACGUGAGCGGAGGCCGAUUCAAGGGGCAAAGGCAUCGCGAGCUAGAGAUUUGAUCAGUUCGAGGUGAGUAAUGAUUCUAAAUGAUGUUCUGAGUGUAUGAAACCCAAGACUUGCACAUCGUUGUGCUAUAUUUAGGUGACACACAUGUUUGAUGACGAGCGUGGGAUCGUGCACUAUUGGGGAUUGUGACUUAGUCCGUCCCGAAUGACUAUUUUACCGUGUAUUUGACUGAAAUCUAUUUGCUAUCAUCAUGAUUUGGGCUGAAUGCCAUAUUUGGGCCUUGUGCCAACUAUUUGAACCCUUCGGGGAUUUUUACUGGUAUUUUCUCACUGAUUUGACUUUAUACUUGAACUCAGUCAUGUUAUAUUUCACUGUUUUCGUACUCAGCCAUGUUUACUCUAUUUUAAACACUUACAUGAUCUUUUAAAUGAUAUUUUUGGGCUGAGAAUCAUGUUUUACUAUUGCCCGAGUGGAUUGUGAGGAUUUUGACUGAGUAAGGCCAAGGGCCUAUGUUGUGAGGAAACAUUUGAUACUGAUUAUGAGACCGAAGGCCUGAGAUAUGUAUGCCACGAGGUGGCUUGAUUGAUACGAGGCCGAGGGCCUAGUGAUGAUGCCAUGAGGUGGCUUGAUAUUGUGCUUGGGACGUAAGGGGCCCCUCCAGGAGUUUGUACACCCCCAGUCAGCGCGAGUACCCAUUGUGAUGUGAGAUUGAGCCCGAGGGGCUCGUAUUUUUCUAUGUGAUUGCCCGAGGGGCUAGUAUUGUUCUGAGAUAUUGCCCAAGAGGCAGAUUUGUUGAUAGCCCGAUGGGCAUACCUUUAUGUGUUUACUUUUCAUAAUUGACUGUCAAGUACCUGCCUAAUUGUUGAAAAAGGCUUUUCAUGAAGUAAAUUUUGAGUUAAAGGAUUUUACCUAUCUUUCACUGGUUUACUGUUUUAAUGGUUUUACUGCUUCAUUAUAGCAUGCUUUUGUGCCUUACGUGAUUUCCUACUUUCAGUAUUUAUUUACAUUUGUUACUCACUGAGUUGGAGUACUCACUUUAUUCCCUGCACCCCAUGUGCAGAUUCAGGCGUUGCUGAUCCGACCAGUGUACGUUGAGGGCUCCCGGCGGACAUUCGGAGUUCAUGAGGUAGUUGCUUGGCGUUCGCAGUUCCGUGUUUCUCCCUCUUUGUCAUUUCUAUCUCUUUUCGGACAUUUGUAAUAGUUAUAGACUUAUCAGACUUGUAGUAGGAUUUAUAGAUGCUCAUGGCUAGUGACACCCCGGUAUCGGGCUGUGUUGGGUUAUUUUUCGCGAAUUAUGAUAUUAUCUAUUAGCUUUGGAUUAUCUUAUCAUGAUUUAGAUUUGUUUCUUAUGAUUUAACUGUUAAUAAUUUGAUAUGGGAAGUGUCGGCUGGCCUUGUCUUCAUAAGAGGCGCCAUCACGACUAGGUACGGCUUUGGGGUCGUGACAAGGUUAUAAGUUACUGAUCCUAUAGACAUGAUUGCUAAGUGAUUCUGGAUUCCAGCAUUA
rnacentral:lncRNA from 1 species